UAGGGGAGAGAUCGACGCAAAAAACAACCCUGCGCUUCACUUGGAACUGACUUCGCAGUAACAAUGGCAACCCUGGUUACUACACACUCACAUUCUUGGAUGGAGACAAGAGCACUGAGAAAAAUGUCACCGAUACUGAAAUCAAAUUUGCUCACCUGACUCCAGGCAAAAAGUACACGUUAGAAGGGAAGGAGUGCUUUACAACAGUGCACUGUGACAUACUGACGACACUUGAAGAAUGGACGGAACCAGAGAAGCCACGAGUGCUGGAAAAGACAGAACUCCAGACAACAACAAGACAUCACCAUCACCAUCCAGCUGCCCGUCCUGCAGAACCCUCCAGGAAUGCACUGGAUAUUGUUGAGGAAAUACAGCGGCGGCGGCGACGAACAUCACACAAGGAAGCAAGACACUGAGGAGAAAGCACUGGUAAUGGUUCGCACGGAAAGGGAGAAGGAAAGGAAGGAGUCGCAGGCAAAGAGGAGGAAUAGUCGUUCCGCUGAUCCAGGCCAAAACGAUCACUCGUUGCGAAUUGUGGCAAAGAUCGAGGUGGUAAGUGUGUGUGUGUGUGUGUGUGUGUGUGUGUGUGUGUGUGUGUGUGUGUGUGUGUAGUUGACACUUUUCACUAUUUACUGAAGGGGAAACUGAGAACGGAGACUAGGACCACAAAAGACAGUAUACAUAUUUUUCCUAUUUCUAUUUGCAUUAGUACACUAAGCAUUACUAACUACUAAGUAGGAAUAUGAGGAUGACACGUGACUCGGACUAAGGCGAACAGAAUGUACACAGGUCAGUUGGAGAUUAAAGCUUCUAAAUCUACGUUCGUUAGAUAAACGUAGAGUAAGAGGUGAUCUGGUAGAGGUAUUUAAGUGGUAUAAAAAAUAUAACAAGGUGACGUUGACAAAUUCCUUAAGGCUAGUAAACUGGAAAGC